rnacentral:rRNA from 1 species
AACGGAAAGGCCCUGCUUGCAGGGUACUCGAGUGGCGAACGGGUGAGUAACACGUGGGUGAUCUGCCCUGCACUUCGGGAUAAGCUUGGGAAACUGGGUCUAAUACCGGAUAGGAGCCAUCUUUAGUGUGGUGGUUGGAAAGUUUUUUCGGUGUARGAUGAGCUCGCGGCCUAUCAGCUUGUUGGUGGGGUAAUGGCCUACCAAGGCGGCGACGGGUAGCCGGCCUGAGAGGGUGUACGGCCACAUUGGGACUGAGAUACGGCCCAGACUCCUACGGGAGGCAGCAGUGGGGAAUAUUGCACAAUGGGCGCAAGCCUGAUGCAGCGACGCCGCGUGGGGGAUGAAGGCCUUCGGGUUGUAAACUCCUUUCGCUAGGGACGAAGCUUUUUUGUGACGGUACCUAGAUAAGAAGCACCGGCUAACUACGUGCCAGCAGCCGCGGUAAUACGUAGGGUGCGAGCGUUGUCCGGAAUUACUGGGCGUAAAGGGCUCGUAGGUGGUUUGUCGCGUCSUCUGUGAAAUUCUGGGGCUUAACUCCGGGCGUGCAGGCGAUACGGGCAUAACUUGAGUGCUGUAGGGGUAACUGGAAUUCCUGGUGU